UACGUAGGGUGCGAGCGUUGUCCGGAAUUACUGGGCGUAAAGAGCUCGUAGGUGGUUUGUCGCGUUGUUCGUGAAAUUCCCUGGCUUAACUGGGGGCGUGCGGGCGAUACGGGCAGACUGGAGUACUGCAGGGGAGACUGGAAUUCCUGGUGUAGCGGUGGAAUGCGUAGAUAUCAGGAGGAACACCGGUGGCGAAGGCGGGUCUCUGGGCAGUAACUGACGCUGAGGAGCGAAAGCGUGGGGAGCGAACAGG
rnacentral:rRNA from 1 species